rnacentral:rRNA from 1 species
AUUGAACGCUGGCGGCAGGCCUAACACAUGCAAGUCGAACGAGUGGCGGACGGGUGAGUAAUGUCUGGGAAACUGCCUGAUGGAGGGGGAUAACUACUGGAAACGGUAGCUAAUACCGCAUACCAUCGGAUGUUCCCAGAUGGGAUUAGCUAGUAGGUGGGGUAAAGGCUCACCUAGGCGAAGAUCCCUGCCUGGUCUGAGAGGAUGACCAGCCACACGGGAACUGAGACACGGUCCAUACUCCUACGGGAGGCAGCAGGGGGGAAUAUUGCACAAUGGGCGUAAGCCUGAUGGAGCCAGGCCGCGUGUAUGAAGAAGGCCUGCGGGUUGUAAAGUACUGUCAGCGGGGAGGCGUUACCCGCAGAAGAAGCACCGGCUAACUCCGUGCCAGCAGCCGCGGUAAUUC